AGACGUAGGGGGCGAGCGUUGUCCGGAAUUACUGGGCGUAAAGAGCACGUAGGCGGAUAUUUAAGUCAGGUGUGAAAGACCGCAGCUCAACUGCGGGGUUGCACCUGAAACUGGGUAUCUUGAGGGCAGGAGAGGGAAGUGGAAUUCCUGGUGUAGCGGUGAAAUGCGUAGAAAUCAGGAGGAACACCAGUGGCGAAGGCGACUUUCUGGACUGACCCUGACGCUGAGGUGCGAAAGCGUGGGUAGCAAACAGGAUUAGAUACCCUGGUAGUCCACGCCGUAAACGAUGAGUACUAGCUGUCGGAGGUUACCCCCUUCAGUGGCGCAGCUAACGCAUUAAGUACUCCGCCUGGGAAGUACGCUCGUAAGAGUGAA
rnacentral:rRNA from 1 species